GACGAACGCUGGCGGCGUGCUUAACACAUGCAAGUCGAACGGAAAGGCCCUGCUUUUGUGGGGUGCUCGAGGGGCGAACGGGUGAGUAACACGUGAGUAACCUGCCCUUGACUUUGGGAUAACUUCAGGAAACUGGGGCUAAUACCGGAUAGGAGCUCCUGCUGCAUGGUGGGGGUUGGAAAGUUUCGGCGGUUGGGGAUGGACUCGCGGCUUAUCAGCUUGUUGGUGUGGUAAUGGCUUACCAAGGCUUUGACGGGUAGCCGGCCUGAGAGGGUGACCGGCCACAUGGUUCCCAAGGUACGGACCAAUACCGUCAGAGAGCCAGAAGUGGGGGAUGGUGCCCAAUGGCAGGACCCCUCAUCCCGCGACCUCGCGUGCCGAAUGAGUGGCUGCGGUUUCUCUUCCGCUCUCGCCUGUGCCGCCGCGUGAGUUACGGUCCCGGGUCAGGAAGCACCGGCUCACUACGUG
rnacentral:rRNA from 1 species